rnacentral:rRNA from 1 species
UGGGGAAUAUUGCACAAUGGGCGCAAGCCUGAUGCAGCAACGCCGCGUGAGGGAUGACGGCCUUCGGGUUGUAAACCUCUUUUAGCAGGGAAGAAGCGAAAGUGACGGUACCUGCAGAAAAAGCACCGGCUAACUACGUGCCAGCAGCCGCGGUAAUACGUAGGGUGCAAGCGUUGUCCGGAAUUAUUGGGCGUAAAGAGCUCGUAGGCGGUCUGUCGCGUCUGCUGUGAAAUCCCGAGGCUCAACCUCGGGCCUGCAGUGGGUACGGGCAGACUAGAGUGCGGUAGGGGAGAAUGGAACUCCUGGUGUAGCGGUGGAAUGCGCAGAUAUCAGGAAGAACACCGAUGGCGAAGGCAGUUCUCUGGGCCGUAACUGACGCUGAGGAGCGAAAGCGUGGGGAGCGAACAGGAUUAGAUACCCUGGUAGUCCACGCCGUAAACGUUGGGCGCUAGAUGUGGGGACCAUUCCACGGUUUCCGUGUC